rnacentral:rRNA from 1 species
AGCUCCAGUAGCGUAUAUUAAAGUUGUUGCAUUUAAAAAGCUCGUAGUUGGUGUUUCGCUUGGCUUCCCGGAUGCUGGUCAUCGGUGGUUGCCAGGGGGUACUUGGUGGUCACACCGUUUCCACUGUGAGAAAAUUAGAGUGAUCCAAACAGUCUCCGACUGAAUGCUUCAGCACAGUAUGGGGUUUCGACGCCGCUUCUGCAGCAGUCACGCGAAGGUUGCGGGGUAAAGGUUGAUAGAGACAGACGAUGGGAUCCGUAUUGGGUUGCUAGAGGUGAAAUUCUUGGACCAACUCACGACGCACAGAAGCGAAAGCUCUUUCCACGUAUGUCCUUA